rnacentral:rRNA from 1 species
AUGGUUUUUGUAGUACCUGGUCAGGAAGGAAAGGUGUGCAAGUUAUUAAAGUCUUUAUAUGGCCUUAAACAAGCUCCUAAGGAGUGGCAUGAGAAGUUCGAAAGAACAUUAACUGCAGCCGGCUUUGUAGUAAACGAUGGUGACAAGUGUGUGUACUAUCGCUAUGGUGGGGGCGAAGGAGUUAUUCUUUGUCUGUAUGUCGACGACAUACUGAUCUUUGGAACCAAACUUGAUUUAAUCAAGGAGGUUAAGGAUUUCUUAUCUCGCUGUUUUGAGAUGAAGGAUCUAGGAGUAGCUGAUGUUAUCUUAAACAUCAAGCUGUUGAGAGAUGAGAAUGGUGGGAUCACACUACUUCAGUCUCACUAUGUGGAAAAGGUCUUGAGUCGUUUUGGGUAUAGCGACUGCACACCUUCUCCAACUCCAUAUGAUGCUAGUGUGUUGCUUCGAAAGAAUCGACGGAUUGCUAGAGAUCAACUGAGGUAUUCUCAGAUUAUUGGCUCGCUUAUGUAUUUGGCGAGUGCCACGAGGCCUGACAUCUCUUUUGUUGUGAGCAAGCUGAGUUGA